GAUGAACGCUGGCGGCGUGCCUAAUACAUGCAAGUCGAGCGAACGGACGAGAAGCUUGCUUCUCUGAUGUUAGCGGCGGACGGGUGAGUAACACGUGGAUAACCUACCUAUAAGACUGGGAUAACUUCGGGAAACCGGAGCUAAUACCGGAUGAUAUUUUGAACCGCAUGGUUCAAAAGUGAAAGACGGUCUUGCUGUCACUUAUAGAUGGAUCCGCGCUGCAUUAGCUAGUUGGUAAGGUAACGGCCUACCAAGGCAACGAUGCAUAGCCGACCUGAGAGGGUGAUCGGCCACACUGGAACUGAGACACGGUCCAGACUCCUACGGGAGGCAGCAGUAGGGAAUCUUCCGCAAAGGGCGAAAGCCUGACGGAGCAACGCCGCGUGAGUGAUGAAGGUCUUCGGAUCGUAAAACUCUGUUAUUAGGGAAGAACAUAUGUGUAAGUAACUGUGCACAUCUUGACGGUACCUAAUCAGAAAGCCACGGCUAACUACGUG
rnacentral:rRNA from 1 species